rnacentral:lncRNA from 1 species
GGGGCGCAACACUGCUUAAUGAUUUAAAAAAUAGAGAAAAAACUAACGUACCAACCACUUGUAUGUUGGUGCCAAGAAAGUUGACAUUUACUUAAUUCAUAUCAAUUAUUCUAACAUAACAUAAUUACACAUCCUCUAGUGUGUAAAUCACUAACAUUUUCCUCAACUAGUGAUUCUUAAGGCACUAAUAUAUCUAUACCAUAAGAAGUAAGAGACAAAUGAAAUGAAUGGAGGAACAAGAAAUAACAUCCUCUUUGGCAUAAUCUGGAACCACUCUGACCCUUCUUCAAUGAUGGGUUCCAACCUUGGAUAACUAUGUGCACAUUUUUGUGGGGUUAUGUAGAGAGCUGGUGCAACCUCUCCACAAUUUUGGAGGAUGCCACUGACUUCUUUCACCAUCUUCUUCAACAUUUUCAGAAAUAAUGGAAAUGAAAGAAACUCAACUUCACACCAAAAAGAUUUUAAAGAAUAUGGUUGGGGUUUGGCUGAAAGUAAAGAAAUAAUUAGUUCACAACUUUAGAUUCCAAUUAGAU